rnacentral:rRNA from 1 species
AGAGUUUGAUCAUGGCUCAGGAUGAACGCUGGCGGCGUGCCUAACACAUGCAAGUCGAGCGGAGUUUUUAGAAAGCUUGCUUUUUAAAAACUUAGCGGCGGACGGGUGAGUAACGCGUGGGUAACCUGCCCUAUACACAGGGAUAACAUUGAGAAAUUGAUGCUAAUACCUGAUAAGCUGACAUAUAGGCAUCUAUAAGUUGGAAAAACUGAGGUGGUAUAGGAGGGGCCCGCGUCUGAUUAGCUAGUUGGUGGGGUAAAGGCCUACCAAGGCGACGAUCAGUAGCCGACCUGAGAGGGUGAUCGGCCACAUUGGAACUGAGACACGGUCCAAACUCCUACGGGAGGCAGCAGUGGGGAAUAUUGCACAAUGGGGGGAACCCUGAUGCAGCAACGCCGCGUGAAGGAAGAAGUAUUUCGGUAUGUAAACUUCUAUCGACAGGGAAGAAAGAAAUGACGGUACCUGAAUAAGAAGCACCGGCUAAAUACGUGCCAGCAGCCGCGGUAAUACGUAUGGUGCAAGCGUUAUCCGGAUUUACUGGGUGUAAAGGGUGAGUAGGCGGUUAUGCAAGUCAUAUGUGAAAUUCUGGGGCUCAACCUCAGAGCUGCAUAAGAAACUGUGUAACUAGAGUACAGGAGAGGUAAGCGGAAUUCCUAGUGUAGCGGUGAAAUGCGUAGAUAUUAGGAAGAACACCGGUGGCGAAGGCGGCUUACUGGACUGAAACUGACGCUGAGUCACGAAAGCGUGGGGAGCGAACAGGAUUAGAUACCCUGGUAGU